rnacentral:rRNA from 1 species
GGAUACCUAAAUUUCCCAUGGCAAACUGCUCAAUAACACAUGAUCAACUUGCCCUAUAGAGAAAAAUAACCUCGGGAAACUGAGGAUAAUGUUUCAUAGUUGAAAAGGCUUGGAAAAGUUUUUCGACCAAAGGGAUAAGAAAAAUGGUUUUUAUCCGCUAUAGGAUAGGAUCGUGCUCGAUUAUGGUCGUUGGUGAGGUAACGGCUCACCAAGCCGAUAAUCGAUAGGGGCCGUGAGAGCGGGAGCCCCGAGAUGGGUACUGAGACAGCGACCCAGGCCUUACGAGGCGCAGCAGGCGCGGAACCUCCGCAAUACACGAAAGUGUGACGGGGUUACCCAAAGUGUUCAGUUUUGAACUGUGGUAGGUGAGUAAUGUCCCCUACUAGAAAGGAGAGGGCAAGGCUGGUGCCAGCCGCCGCGGUAAAACCAGCUCUUCAAGUGGUCGGGAUAAUUAUCGGGCUUAAAGUGUCCGUAGCCGGUUUAGUAAGUUCCUGGUAAAAUCAGGUAGCUUAACUAUCUGCAUGCUAGGAAUACUGCUAUACUAGAGGGCGGGAGAGGUCUGAGGUACUACAGGGGUAGGGGUGAAAUCUUAUAAUCCUUGUAGGACCACCAGUGGCGAAGGCGUCAGACUGGAACGUGCCUGACGGUGAGGGACGAAAGCCAGGGGAGCGAACCGGAUUAGAUACCCGGGUAGUCCUGGCCGUAAACGAUGCAUACUAGGUGAUGGCAUGGCCAUGAGCCGUGUCGGUGCCGUAGGGAAACCGUUAAGUGUGCCGCCUGGGAAGUACGGUCGCAAGGCUAAAACUUAAAGGAAUUGGCGGGGGAGCACCACAAGGGGUGAAGCCUGCGGUUCAAUUGGAUUCAACGCCGGG